CAGUUCCUUUUUGGAGAACUGGGACUGGGACUUAGGAGCUGGAGGGAGACAAGAUGUCUCUGAAGAUGCAGAGUGAGGAAAAACGGAUUCGAUUUAUCCAGGUUGGAAAAAGAAACAUGAAGAGUGUCUGCUAUUGUCAUUCAUUGCUGCGAUCCCUCAGGGUUCUGGAAUUGUUUGCUUCCUGAAGAGUGUGCUGCUUACUGACGCAGGCCGUCCAGAUGCCCAAGGGGAGUGUCUCCGGGUUGCAGAUGUGCUCUAAGCACCUUCCCUGGAAAUCACAGAACUUCAGACCCCCUAAGGAAGGCGAAAAGCUCCCUGAGGAAUCGUGGUGGGGUUCUGGAAACCUGAAGGCCUGCGGCCACAGGCAGUGCUGCUUAGGUGAACUCUCCUCGCAGGAGCUGAAGGCCCGGACUCCAUGGUCUUCUGGGCCUUUCCUCACAGGAGUGGUUGGUCCAGUGAUGUUUCCAGAAGACCUCCUUUCCGCUUCUUCACUGCGUCGAGUCCAUCCCAUCUGACACCAGAGGCCUGUCCAGGAGGCCUGUCCCGGCCUGACUUUCCUGAGAGCAGGGCCAAGACAAAGGCGUGAACCCAGGAGGCUGCCGCCUGCCCUUCACGGCAAGUCUGGGUCUGGUUUCCUGUGAAUGUAGAGCUUUGAAUUCAGUCUACGGAUGUCUAAGCUUCUGUGGGACGGUGGGGUCCCCCUGGGUGCCCGGGGCAGGUUUUGCCCUCCUGCUUCCCCUUAGCACCCAGGCCAGGGCUCACAUCUCGCUUGGCCUAUAACUUUUUUCUUUUUUUAAGAUUUUAUUUUAUUU
rnacentral:lncRNA from 1 species